AUUGAACGCUGGCGGCAUGCUUUACACAUGCAAGUCGAACGGUAGAGGGGGCAACCCCUUGAGAGUGGCGAACGGGUGAGUAAUGCAUCGGAACGUGCCCAGUCGUGGGGGAUAACGCAGCGAAAGCUGUGCUAAUACCGCAUACGAUCUCUGGAUGAAAGCGGGGGACCGAAAGGCCUCGCGCGAUUGGAGCGGCCGAUGUCAGAUUAGGUAGUUGGUGGGGUAAAGGCCUACCAAGCCAACGAUCUGUAGCUGGUCUGAGAGGACGACCAGCCACACUGGGGCUGAGACACGGCCCAGACUCCUACGGGAGGCAGCAGUGGGGAAUUUUGGACAAUGGGCGCAAGCCUGAUCCAGCAAUGCCGCGUGCAGGAAGAAGGCCUUCGGGUUGUAAACUGCUUUUGUACGGAACGAAACGGUCUGGGUUAAUACCCUGGGCUAAUGACGGUACCGUAAGAAUAAGCACCGGCUAACUACGUGCCAGCCGCCGCUGUAA
rnacentral:rRNA from 1 species